AGAUUCCUCUCAUCACUUUGACCAGAGGGCAGUGGAACACUUAAAAGGUAAGAGGGCUGGUGAACAGAAUUACAGACCACAGCACUUCCCAGAAAUUAAGCAAAGCAAGCAUUCUUCUCAGCAUCAAAACAGCUCAGAGGGGUGGAAGACGACUAAGGAGGACAUGAGUAAGUGAGAAUCCCACUCAGCCAACACUAGGAAAUUUAACCCACAAAAGUCAGGCUGCCAUUUGGUAGUAUUACAGUUUGCAGAUUUUAAAGAAAGGAAAACAGACAUUAUCAGAAGGGUGUUCAUGUUCAGAACAUUCACAGAAAGGACAAUGAUGGCAGGAAUGUUUGAGCAAACUAGAUUAGAACACUGGGAAAGUGACAGUUGGUUUGAUGGUAACAGAAUUUUGAAGAACUCCAGCUAAUCAUUCACAACUGCUGUACAUUUUGGAAAAGAUUACCGACUAAAUCAGAUGUCACCUGCUGAAAGUGAAGGGGGGAAAUGUUGCAGGUUGAUAAAUGGUAGGCAACAGACCAUAGGGAAGAAGAAAAAUCAUAGAACAACUGAAGUAACUGGGGUCCUGCCCACAUGAUGGCAAUUUAAACUUUCUCCAAGCUGUAUGGAAGCUGUUCACUGGUAUGCAGCUGGGAGAACUACUAAACACCACCACCUAGUUGUACCUGUAUCAACUUUCUAUGAAUGCUCCAAAUCUCUGACUCUUGAUCACAAUGGCGGCUUGAAUACAAGCUCAGUAUACAAGUAUCCAUUGAAACGAACUUAAUGAUUUCUAUGUGAAGUGGAAGACUGUGUUGGUGUUAUUA